UAUUUUUGCAUGUAUUUCUUUCAGCAAGAAAAAGGCCCUGUGGCAAACACUCGCCGAAAUGAUUUCUAGAGAGUUUGAAUCUCCGUGUAGCCCACUGCAAGUACAGAACAAAUAGAAAAGUCUCAAGCGGGCGUACAAACACACCAAAUCAAAAAAUAACUCUUCAGGAAGUGGAAGGGUGUCUUGCGAAUUUGAAGAAGAACUGAGUGAUGUUCUGGAAAAAGAACGUCACAUCAUCCCGACAGUAUUGAUUACCCCAGGAAGGGUGAUUGAAAAGAACAGGGACAGCCACGAUGCAAGCAGGCCUAAUGAUCGUCCACCAGUAAGUGCGUCUCAGGAUGCAGAACCUGCCAGACCAGAAGGUGCGGCUGCUGCAUAUUCUGGCUCAGAAGAACCUGCCGAAAUGAAGACCCAGCUGCAGCUGAAGAAGCGUUAAGCCAACCCCAUAAAAAAAGAAAAAGGGUGGAUUGCACGCCAAUUCAAUGUCUCCUUCAAGAAUUUAGAGAAAGC